rnacentral:rRNA from 1 species
GGUAAUGGCUCACCAAGGCGACGAUGCGUAGCCSACCUGAGAGGGUGAUCGGCCMCMCUGGGACUGAGACACGGCCCAGACUCCUACGGGAGGCAGCAGUAGGGAAUCUUCCGCAAUGGACGAAAGUCUGACGGAGCAACGCCGCGUGAACGAAGAAGGCCUUCGGGUCGUAAAGUUCUGUUGUUAGGGRAGAACAAGUACCAGAGUAACUGCUGGUAC